rnacentral:misc_RNA from 1 species
AACGCACAUUGCGCCCUUUGGUAUUCCGAAGGGCAUGCCUGUUCGAGCGUCAUUACACCACUCAAGCCUGGCUUGGUAUUGGGCGACGCGGGACCCCCGCGCGCCUCAAAGUCUUUCCGGCUGAGUCGUCCGUCUCCAAGCGUUGUGGCACACAAGUCGCGGCGAGAUCGGGCGGCGUGGCCGUUAAAUCUUUCAUUCAGGUUGACCUCGGAUCAGGUAGGGAUACCCGCUGAACUUAA